rnacentral:rRNA from 1 species
CAAUAGCGUAUAUUAAAGUUGUUGUGGUUAAAAAGCUCGUAGUUGAACCUUGGGCCUGGCCGUCCGGUCCGCCUCACCGCGUGUACUGGCUCGGCCGGGCCUUUCCCUCUGUGGAACCCCAGGCCCUUCACUGGGCGUGGCGGGGAAACAGGACUUUUACUGUGAAAAAAUUAGAGUGCUCCAGGCAGGCCUAUGCUCGAAUACAUUAGCAUGGAAUAAUAGAAUAGGACGUGUGGUUCUAUUUUGUUGGUUUCUAGGACCGCCGUAAUGAUUAAUAGGGACAGUCGGGGGCAUCAGUAUUCAAUUGUCAGAGGUGAAAUUCUUGGAUUUAUUGAAGACUAACUACUGCGAAAGCAUUUGCCAAGGAUGUUUUCAUUAA